AUUGAACGCUGGCGGCAGGCCUAACACAUGCAAGUCGAGCGAGCGGCGGACGGGUGAGUAAUGUCUGGGAAACUGCCUGAUGGAGGGGGAUAACUACUGGAAACGGUAGCUAAUACCGCAUACCAUCAGAUGUGCCCAAAUGGGAUUAGCUUGUAGGUGAGGUAACGGCUCACAUAGGCGACGAUCCCUAGCUGGUCUGAGAGGAUGACCAGCAACACUGGAACUGGAACACGGUCCAGACUCCGACGGGAGGCAGCAGGGGGGAAUAUUGCACAAUGGGCGCAAGCCUGAUACAGCCAUGCCGCGUGUAUGAAGAAGGCCUUCGGGUUGUAAAGUACUUUCAGCGGGGAGUCGUUACCCGCAGAAGAAGCACCGGCUAACUCCGUGCCAGCAGCCGCGGUAAUAC
rnacentral:rRNA from 1 species